GAUGAACGCUAGCGGCAGGCUUAAUACAUGCAAGUCGUGGGGCAGCAUGAGUGUAGCAAUACAUUUGAUGGCGACCGGCAAACGGGUGCGGAACACGUACACAACCUUCCUUCAAGUGGGGAAUAGCCCAGGGAAACUUGGAUUAAUACCCCGUAAUAUUAUGGAGUGGCAUCACUUUAUAAUUAUAGCUCCGGCGCUUGAUGAUGGGUGUGCGCCUGAUUAGGUAGUUGGCGGGGUAACGGCCCACCAAGCCUUCGAUCAGUAACUGGUGUGAGAGCACGACCAGUCACACGGGCACUGAGACACGGGCCCGACUCCUACGGGAGGCAGCAGUAAGGAAUAUUGGUCAAUGGACGCAAGUCUGAACCAGCCAUGCCGCGUGGAGGGAUGGAAGGUCCUCUGGAUUGUAAAGCACUUUCAGUAGGGAAGAAAGCCGAGUGCUAAUAUCACUCGGUCUUGUACGUUACUUACAGAAGAAG
rnacentral:rRNA from 1 species